CUUGGCAGCCAGAGGCGAUGAAGGACGUUGUAGCCUGCGAUAAGCUCCGGUUAGGUGGCAAACAACCGUUUGACCCGGAGAUUUCCGAAUGGGGAAACCC
rnacentral:rRNA from 1 species